GAUGAACGCUGGCGGCGUGCCUAAUACAUGCAAGUCGAGCGAACGGACGCGAAGCUUGCUUCUCUGAUGUUAGCGGCGGACGGGUGAGUAACACGUGGAUAACCUACCUAUAAGACUGGGAUAACUUCGGGAAACCGGAGCUAAUACCGGAUAAUAUUUUGAACCGCAUGGUUCAAAAGUGAAAGACGGUCUUGCUGUCACUUAUAGAUGGAUCCGCGCUGCAUUAGCUAGUUGGUAAGGUAACGGCUUACCAAGGCAACGAUGCAUAGCCGACCUGAGAGGGUGAUCGGCCACACUGGAACGGAGACACGGUCCAGACUCCUACGGGAGGCAGCAGUAGGGAAUCUGCCGGAAUGGGCGAAAGACUGACGGAGCAACGCCGCGUGAGUGAUGAAGGUCUUCGGAUCGUAAAACUCUGGUAUUAGGGAAGAACAUAUGUGUAAGUAACUGUGCACAUCUUGACGGUACCUAAUCAGAAAGCCACGGCUAACUACGUG
rnacentral:rRNA from 1 species